CUUCUUUAAUUUGUUCUCGCACAUGCUCUUAAUUUGGGGCUUCUUCUCCAAAUCUCCAUUUCCACCAUUGGAAGCUCACCCCGAGCUCAAUUGCUUCAUUGUGUCACUGAUUUUGAUAUGGUAUCAGAGCAGUGGAUGAUCCGAUCCAUAGUUUUAUACACACGGAGCUCGUGUAGAUCAUCUGUUGCUCGAUCUACAAAUGUAAUUGGAGAUAUGCCUUGGAUCACGGGAAUUUCUGACGGAGGCUAAGAGGUACUUGAUCUCCCAGAAGGACAAGGAAGUGGUGAUCCGGCAUAGCUUUAGACAAGGAAAUGAAGUCGCUCACCUGCUAGUCCAGGAAGGAGCCAAGAAACCAAUGCACUAUGGUUUAGUCUGUUAUGUUGUAACCCCUACCUUUGUUGAGUCCAGGAUGCUGGAGGACAAGGAGGGUUUUUCUCCAAAAAAAUAAAUCUGUUUGUGAAAAGUAACUGUAGGAAACUUGCCAAUCUUGGUAACCUAAAUGCCAUAUAUGGCCUUUCAUCCUUUUGUAAUGAUUCGCUGGAUCUUGUAAUGGA